AACGAACGCUGGCGGCAUGCCUAACACAUGCAAGUCGAACGAGACCUUCGGGUCUAUUGGCGCACGGGUGCGUAACGCGUGGGAACCUGCCCUUAGGUUCGGAAUAACUCCCCGAAAGGGGUGCUAAUACCGGAUAAUGUCUUCGGACCAAAGAUUUAUCGCCUUUGGAUGGGCCCGCGUUGGAUUAGCUAGUUGGUAGGGUAAAAGCCUACCAAGGCGACGAUCCAUAGCUGGUCUGAGAGGAUGAUCAGCCACACUGGGACUGAGACACGGCCCAGACUCCUACGGGAGGCAGCAGUGGGGAAUAUUGGACACUGGGCGAAAGCCUGAUCCAGCAAUGCCGCGUGAGUGAUGAAGGCCUUAGGGUUGUAAAGCUCUUUUACCCGGGAUGAUAAUGACAGUACCGGGAGAAUAAGCUCCGGCUAACUCCGUG
rnacentral:rRNA from 1 species